UACCAGCCCCCUGAGUGGUAAGGAUGAUUAUUUGGCCUAAAGCGUUCGUAGCCGGCUUGACAAGUCUUUUGUUAAAUCCAACGAUUCAAUCGUUGGGCCGCAAAAGAUACUGUUAUGCUAGAGGACGGGAGAGGUCGACGGUAGUCCAGGGGUAGGGGUGAAAUCCUAUAAUCCUUGGAGGACCACCAGUGGCGAAGGCGGUCGACUAGAACGUGCCUGACGGUGAGGGACGAAAGCUGGGGGAGCGAACCGGAUUAGAUACCCGGGUAGUCCCAGCUGUAAACGAUGCGGGCUAGGUGUUGGGGUAGCCACGAGCUGCCCCAGUGCCGCAGAGAAGUUGUUAAGCCCGCCGCCUGGGGAGUACGGCCGCAAGGCUGAAACUUAAAGGAAUUGGCGGGGGAGCACCACAAGGGGUGAAGGCUGCGGUUU
rnacentral:rRNA from 1 species